CCUACGGGAGGCAGCAGUGAGGAAUAUUGGUCAAUGGCCGAGAGGCUGAAUCAGCCAAGUCGCGUGAGGGAAGACGGCCCUACGGGUUGUAAACCUCUUUUGUCGGGGAGCAAAUCGAACCACGUGUGGUUCAUUGAGAGUACCCGAAGAAAAAGCAUCGGCUAACUCCGUGCCAGCAGCCGCGGUAAUACGGAGGAUGCGAGCGUUAUCCGGAUUUACUGGGUGUAAAGGGAGCGUAGACGGUUAAUCAAGUCAGAAGUGAAAACCCAGGGCUCAACCUUGGGACUGCUUUUGAAACUGAGUAGCUAGAGUGCAGGAGAGGUAAGCGGAAUUCCUAGUGUAGCGGUGAAAUGCGUAGAUAUUAGGAGGAACACCAGUGGCGAAGGCGGCUUACUGGACUGUAACUGACGUUGAGGCUCGAAAGCGUGGGGAGCAAACAGGAUUAGAUACCCCGGUAGUC
rnacentral:rRNA from 1 species